rnacentral:lncRNA from 1 species
UAUUUAUCCUGUGUAAAUAUUUCUUAAAAUGAUAAGAUUUAGAAGGUAUAUUAGGGUUAGCAGUGAAACUAGCCAUAGGAACAGGUUGCAGGUCAUAUAUCUUACCAGGAAAUUUUUGGAAACUAUUCCAUAAACCCAUGUGAAAUUUGACACUGCAAUAUAGCGGGAUUGCUCAGUCUAAAGGCCUCAGGAAGGAGGCGAGACCACCCAUUUAGGUAUUCAGCCUAAUGGUGACUAUACAAGCUCCAAUUUAAGUACAUGAAAAGAGAGAUAUCAUGACUUAACGCUCGUCAUGGAGGACAUGCAGUGUUUCAAAAACCAGACACUGCAAUAUAGCGGGAUUGCUCAGUCUAAAGGCCUCAGGAAGGAGGCGAGACCACCCAUUUAGGUAUUCAGCCUAAUGGUGACUAUACAAGCUCCAAUUUAAGUACAUGAAAAGGAGAUUCCAUGACUUAACGCUCGUCGUGGAGGACAUGCAGUGUUUCAAAACCUAACUGGUAUUUUCAAAAACUUUUGUCUACCUUCCUCAUAAUUCAUUUGAAACGUUAUAAAAUAUCUCAACUGGUUGCUAUGGCUAGCUUCACAGGGAGAGCAGGUACUACCAUAAAGCCUCUAUCAUAGAAAGUCUAAUUUAUUUUCAGAUACAUCCUUUCUGAAGUUGUGGGGUCUUAAUUGGGGGGGGGGGUAAUAAAUUUGAACGAAGGAAGGACUUAUUUUAGGGGCUAAAUAGAGGAUUUAGGGUGUUACAUUACCAUGAAUUUCCAAAAGUAAUUAAGAAAAAAACAAUAUAAUAAAGCUUCUCUCUUGAACAUUUUUUCGAAUGAAUGUCUUACUUUUGGAAAUCUACAUGGUAUACCUUCUAAGUAUAAUAAUUUCAGUUUGGUUUUGCACCUGCAUUGGUAUUAAUAACUUUUGCAGAUACAAACUGAGACAGAGCACCAAGGAAUGCAACAAUUGUUUUAAAUUUUGCAUUUCUUUCAACUUUGUCAAUAAUUCUGGUGGUCAAAAACUGGUUCACUAUGUCUAUGCCUACAGUAGACUAUAUAAGAAUAAAGAAAAACCAUAGUAAGAAUAAACACACCUUCACAGCACGACGUCUUCAGGCCACAGGAGUGUACGCCUAGAGGAAAGAUGCACAUGUGAACCUAACUUAAGGGGCCUUAAGGGGCCCCCCGCAUGCAAUACACAAAAAAAACACAACCGCCAAGAAUGAAUCCACCAACAGCUCCUGUGGCCACACGACUUCCAGAAAAAAGAACUAACGUUUUAUUACUAAUGACAUUCUAUGUGUAAAUUGUACGGAACAAAAAUCUGUAAUAUACAUAAACUAUAGCUGAAUAACUGCAAACUCUUCAAUAUUUUUAAGAGUCUAAAAUGUUUUGUUUGAAAGUAUAAAUUCUUGUUUUAACAAAUGCACAGUUGCUUUUCAUAACAAUAUCAUCUGAAUAUGUAUUAUUAAAGUAUGAGCAGAAAAGAAAAGCUGGACUUAUGGAUUGAAUGCUUUGCCAAAU